rnacentral:tRNA from 2 species
GGUCUUGUGGUCUAGUGGUAUGAUUCUCGCUUAGGGGUGAUAAGCUUAGCAUGCGAGAGGUCCCGCGUUCGAGUCGCGGCAAGACCC